rnacentral:rRNA from 1 species
UACGUAUAGGGCAAGCGUUAUCCGGAAUUAUUGGGUGUAAAGAGUGCGUAGGUGGUUACCUAAGCGCAAGGUUUAAUCUUGAGGCUCAACCUCAUUCUGCCUUGCGAACUGGGCUACUUGAGUGCAGGAGGGGAAAGCGGAAUUCCCAGUGUAGCGGUGAAAUGCGUAGAUAUUGGGAAGAACACCGGUGGCGAAGGCGGCUUUCUGGACUGUAACUGACACUGAGGCACGAAAGCGUGGGGAGCAAACAGGAUUAGAUACCCUGGUAGUCCCU